AAGAAAACAACUGGGGCAAAGACUGGCUAGAUGUUCACCAAGGCCAUUUCCUCUUCCCUGGAUACAUGUCAGGAUGGCCACUCCCAGCAUCCUUUGCAGUUAGGUGAAGUCAUGUGACUGAGAUCUGACCAAUGAUGUGUGUCCAUAAAUCUUGUACUCCAUUUUCAAGCAGACACUUCCUUUAUCUAUCUGCUAGAUGCUGAGGAUCCUCUGAAGCCUUUGAAGUCCUAGAAGAUGGCAGAGCCACCAGAUGGAAGAAGCCUGGUCCCUAAUUGACCAAUGGGGGAGAUCAAGAAUGAUGACACUGGUCUGUGAUAACACUGAAUGAGAGGACACAACAGCGCAGAUUGCCAAGUUCCUCCAGGGCAGGAACCAAGCCCUACUCAUCUUCCUGUUCUGCAGCUGCCAUCUCCCAGAUGCUUCAUAGACUACGUAAAAAAAAAAAAAAAAAUUCUAUGUAUUAUAGAAUUAAUAAUAAAAUGAUAA